GACGUAGGGCGCGAGCGUUGUCCGGAUUUAUUGGGCGUAAAGAGCUCGUAGGCGGUUUGUUGCGUCGGCUGUGAAAUCCCGAGGCUCAACCUCGGGUCUGCAGUCGAUACGAGCAAACUAGAGUGUUGCAGGGGAGACUGGAAUUCCUGGUGUAGCGGUGAAAUGCGCAGAUAUCAGGAGGAACACCGGUGGCGAAGGCGGGUCUCUGGGCAACAACUGACGCUGAGGAGCGAAAGCGUGGGGAGCAAGCAGG
rnacentral:rRNA from 1 species